rnacentral:rRNA from 1 species
GUGGAUUAGAUACCCUGGUAGUCCACGCUGUAAACGAUGAAUGCUAGGUGUAGGCAUGAAUGUGUCUGUGCCGCAGCUAACGCAAUAAGCAUUCCACCUGGGGAGUACGGCCGCAAGGUUGAAACUCAAAGGAAUUGACGGGAGCCCGCACAAGCAGUGGAGUAUGUGGUUUAAUUCGACGCAACGCGAAGAACCUUACCAGAGCUUGACAUCCCUCUGACCGGCCGAGUAAUGUUGGCCUUUCCUUCGGGACAGAGGAGACAGGUGGUGCAUGGCCGUCGUCAGCU